GGCCUUUAUCCCUUGUUUCUUCCUCAAUUAGGCGGUUCUCUCUCUCUCUCUCUACAGUGCUCCGUUCUCUCACAUCGAAAGUUUUUGAUGUGAAGCUUCUGCAAACUGCGUCAAGCUGACUGAGGAAAAUGAUUUCCGGUUUAAUCAAUGCCAAUCCCAUUGUCUAUGAAAAAAAGGAGCGUCAAACUAGAACUGCACCGGAUGAUGUCAACGAGUAUGUUGUGGAGCCCAUUGACCAACUAGAAAUUUUUUGUAUCAUUUGAGUUUGAUUAUUCCAUUUGAUGCUCUGUCAUGUCCACUGUGUUUUGUCAGUUAUAUAUCUCACAAAUUGUAGAGGUUUCUUUGCAAAGCUUGGUGUUGAAAUUAAAAUUCACUUGUAUGUAAGUGUAUUAGAAUUUAGAAAGGAAUAUGUUGUUUAGACAUGUUGAUCAAAUAGGACUACAUGGGUUGAAGUUCCUAUUCAGCAAAGUUUUGCUGCUUGUCCAUAUAUCUUGCCCCAAGAGGCAUAACAAAGGGAGCAGAAGCAAUUGUAAGGAA